rnacentral:sRNA from 1 species
CACUAGCCCCGAUAGAAACGACAUCCUUUUUUGUUGCGGCCGGAGCGAAGCGGAGGCCGUAAUAAAAAAGAUACAGUGGAUAGCGGGAAAUAGC